rnacentral:rRNA from 1 species
UACGGAGGGGGCUAGCGUUGUUCGGAAUUACUGGGCGUAGAGCGCACGUAGGCGGCUUUGUAAGUUAGAGGUGAAAGCCCGGAGCUCAACUCCGGAAUUGCCUUUAAGACUGCAUCGCUCGAAUCAUGGAGAGGUGAGUGGAAUUCCGAGUGUAGAGGUGAAAUUCGUAGAUAUUCGGAAGAACACCAGUGGCGAAGGCGACUCACUGGACAUGUAUUGACGCUGAGGUGCGAAAGCGUGGGGAGCAAACAGG